rnacentral:rRNA from 1 species
CCUACGGGGGGCAGCAGUCGAGAAUCAUUCACAAUGGGGGAAACCCUGAUGGUGCGACGCCGCGUGGGGGAAUGAAGGUCUUCGGAUUGUAAACCCCUGUCAUGUGGGAGCAAAUUAAAAAGAUAGUACCACAAGAGGAAGAGACGGCUAACUCUGUGCCAGCAGCCGCGGUAAUACGGAGGAUGCGAGCGUUAUCCGGAUUUAUUGGGUUUAAAGGGUGCGCAGGCGGUCUGUUAAGUCAGCGGUCAAAGCCCGGGGCUCAACCCCGGCCCGCCGUUGAAACUGGCAGUCUCGAGUUGGAGAGAAGUAUGCGGAAUGCGCGGUGUAGCGGUGAAAUGCAUAGAUAUCGCGCAGAACUCCGAUUGCGAAGGCAGCAUGCCGGCUCCACACUGACGCUGAGGCACGAAAGCGUGGGUAUCGAACAGGAUUAGAUACCCUGGUAGUC